rnacentral:rRNA from 1 species
CAGUAGCCGCGGUAAUACGGAGGGUGCAAGCGUUAAUCGGAAUUACUGGGCGUAAAGCGUGCGUAGGCGGUUCGUUAAGUCUGUUGUGAAAGCCCCGGGCUCAACCUGGGAAUGGCAAUGGAUACUGGCGAGCUAGAGUGUGUCAGAGGAUGGUGGAAUUCCCGGUGUAGCGGUGAAAUGCGUAGAGAUCGGGAGGAACAUCAGUGGCGAAGGCGGCCAUCUGGGACAACACUGACGCUGAGGCACGAAAGCGUGGGGAGCAAACAGGAUUAGAUACCCCUGUAGUUCCUGUCUCUUAUAC